rnacentral:rRNA from 1 species
CAGCAGCCGCGGGAAUACGAAGGGUGCAAGCGUUAAUCGGAAUUACUGGGCGUAAAGCGUGCGUAGGCGGUGAGUUAAGUCUGCUGUGAAAUCCCCGGGCUCAACCUGGGAAUGGCAGUGGAUACUGGCUCGCUAGAGUGUGUCAGAGGAUGGUGGAAUUCCCGGUGUAGCGGUGAAAUGCGUAGAGAUCGGGAGGAACAUCAGUGGCGAAGGCGGCCAUCUGGGACAACACUGACGCUGAGGCACGAAAGCGUGGGGAGCAAACAGGAUUAGAUACCCGAGUAGUCCCUGUCUCUUAUAC